rfam:Triticum aestivum genome assembly, contig: Triticum_aestivum_CS42_TGACv1_scaffold_500777_6BL
UACAUACUCCCUCCGUCCGAAAAUACUUGUCAUCAAAAUGGACAAAAAAGGAUGUAUCUAGAACUAAAAUACAUCUAGAUACAUCCUCUUUUAUUCAUUUUGAUGACAAGUAUUUCCGGAUAGAGGGAGUACAUU